AUUUUGGUUUGGGUUUUUGUUUGUUUGUUUGUUUUGGCUGCACCACACAUCGCACAGGAUUUAGUUCCCAGGGAUUAAACCUGCUCCCCCUGCACUGGGGGCUUGAAGUCUUAACCACUGGACCACCCAGGGAAGUCCUGCAGGUGGGUUAAAUUAAGGAUCUUGUGAUGGGGAGAUCAUCUUGGAUUAUCUGGCUGGACUGGAGGCAGGAGGGUCAGAGUCAGAGAUUGAGAGAUGAUGAUGGAAGCAGAGGUCAGAGAGAAGGAUGAUAAGAAUCUGCACUGCCGGCUUUUAAGAUGGAGCCAAGGAAUGCAGGCGACCUCUGGAAGCUGGAAGAGGCCAGGAAAGAUUCUUCCUCAGAGCCCUCAGAGAGAACAGAGCCCUCCCAAUGCCUUGAUUUUUAGAUUUCUGAUAUCCAGAACUGUAAGAUAAUAAAUUUGUGUUGUUUUAAGCCACCAACUCUGUAGUAACUUGAUACAACAGCAAUAGUAAAUGAAUACAUUCCAUAAUAAAGAUGAUAGCUGGUCCCCUGCCACAUUCUCUUUCAUUUAAAGAAUGCAAUUGAUUAGGUUCUUUCAGAGAUGACUGCAAUGUGACUGUGACAUAAUGGAGGGAACCUUCACAUCCAGAGGGAAAUAAACAUCCAAUCAACAGUCAAAUUACACAGAUUUGUGAGUGAGGAGACAAGUUGAGUUAAAAUAGAUUUAGAGGACGUUAAUUUAUAAUUUGGUAAUAUGAGUACGGGGUGUGGAUGAGAUCAAUCAAAACACAGAAGAAACGAUAAAGAGGACCAAGGACAGAUCCCCGGGAAGCACUAAGGCUGUGGCAGAUGAACGGAAGCGCACAAAGUCUGAAGAAGAAUGGCCAGAGAGAGAAAAGAACUAGGUGAUGUGUGUUACAUAACUGGCUGUUUCCUCAUUUCACUCUGACUGCCAAGAAGCUCUGAGAAAUUUGUGGCUCAGCAUUAGUAACUGGAAGGACUCUUGGCUUGCAUGUCUACAUUCUGUUGGUUUGAAAUUUUUCAAAAUUAAAAGCUAGGGGAAAUCUAAAUUCUUCUGCAUUUUCUAGAUUAUUGAUAUUAUACAUUUG
ensembl:lncRNA